UGUCCUAAUAUCACGAAAUUAAAGACUAGAGUGACCAAUUCCAUUAUUGUUCUAAAUCUAAAGGGGGAAAGAAAUAAAAUGUGUUUCUGAACUUAUUACAAUUUUCCUUUAUUCUCAGUUUGGCUUCUUUCUGUCACACUCCAUGUUGAUAAAUAAUUUUACUUUUAUUGCAGAUAUUUUCCAUAUACCUUACCAAUAAGCAUUCAAGAAAUUGACAAUCAUAUUGGAAAGUUUUGUGUCUGUACAAGAGAUCAUAUGAAACAGGAGAAUGAUUUAAUCUGCAGAAUAAGCAAAAAGAUGUGUAUUAAAUUAUGAAAGUAAAUUUCUUCAGUCUUCACUGGGUUUUUGCAUACUUAAUCCUUUCCUCUUGGUACAUGUGUAUAAAAACAGUAUCACGGCCUGCCAGGCCAUGGACAUUUCUUCUUUAAAGCUUUCCACAAAGUCUCUUUCUUGCCAUCAAUUCAGUCAUGACCUGUGCUUUGCAGUAUGGUGGCAUGUAAUUAAAAUUUUACCAAGAAAUAUGUUUUAUUUGGUAUCUAUUCCUUUCCCACCUGUUUGCUCUUGGCUGAAGUCUCUUGCACUCUGCUCUACCGAGUAGAACUGAGCAAACUCAGUAAACACGAAUUAAAAUGUCUCCUCCAUCUCUACAUUAGUCAUGUUUCAAUUAUAACAUACAUACAAAUAUAACAGAAUGCCCUCCCUUACUCCUCCUUUCUUUAAUUAAGCUGCUGAAGUUCUACAAAACGGAGAGCAGUUUAUGUAAAAUGAACAGCAGAGGAAAUACCUAAUACAUCGUUUUCCCUUUCCUUAGCUCUUUUGUCUAUCUGGAAUAAGGAAGAUGUAACAUCCUGGCCUGUCAUGUCAUUCAGAAAAAUGCUCUUUUGGCAGACAUUCAGCAAACCUCCUUGUGUUACUGGAUCCAGCCUCCCCAUACCCUGGACAGAAAGGCUUCCAGAGGCUUUCAUUUCCCCUCAGCUGGUGACAAAUGGGGACCUGGAGAUAGGAUGCUGAACCCUUUCACUCAAAAGAGAGAUGCACUGGGCAGCAGGCUGCAAAGCCCUAAGUCAGGUGCCACAUCACAGAAGAGUGAAAAAGUGUUGAGACUCCUCUGCAAACAUGGCAACAGAGAAAUCACCCUUAGUGUCCUGCAGUGAGAGGGAGAAGAACAGCACCUGUGACAGGCAGCUCACAGUCCCUGACUGCCAAAAUCAGUGAAAAUGACGCACAUCUGGACAGUGUAUGUGCUUCUGCCCUGGGAGGAAACCCUGCUUGCCCUGCUUGCUCUCACUCUGCUGGUAUCAUUUACGGGUUGUGAUGUAAAACAGAGGAAAUGGGAGUGUGAAUACCAAUCUCAUCCUGAAAAGGAUCUGGUUUCCUCAGGUACAGUUUGUGCUUAUCAUUCUUGUGCAAAAGUUAGUAGGUCACAGCUGGUUAAACAAACACUGGCCAACUAUAAUUUCCAUGCUUACAACAGAGUACUUAACCUUUCAUUACUCCUUUCCACCCAAAUCAAAGGUCUAACGUUUUGCACUUGAUUUUACUUUGUUCUUUUUUCAGCAUGUAAGAAAAAGGAAAACAUUAAAACCCUGUAAAACUCACUUAAAAAAAAUACCUGAACUUAAUCUCCAAGAUUAACUGAUGUCUUUUAUUUCAGACUCUACUAACUGCAUAUUGUACUUCAUGUAUAUGAAGACAAGAAAUGGCAUAUUAUAUAUAAAAAUGGGAAAAUGCAUUAUUCAUGUAAUAAAUGUUGUUUCUUUCAUGUCUUCUGGCAAAAAAGUGGUCUGCCUACUAGUAAUUGCACAUCAUAUUUUAAAAUAAUGAUGCAGACUUUUAAUGUGUGUCAUUUGCAUUGCCCUGCGUGUCUCCUGUCCCAGCCAGCAAAAGCACAUUCCUGGAGGAAGAGACCCUGAAUGCCCUCAGUGCAGCAGCUCACAUACUUGCUUUAUAAAUUAGAUGAUUUUAUAAAGUUUCUUCCAAAUGUUGCUCAAAUUCAGCAGGUUUUGAAGGUCAAACUUUCACCCUGUACUCUACACAUCAUAGCUAAAUCAUGUUAUGUCUAAAAUACACUUGCUUCAAAU